CACCAGGUUGAUUCUGCCUGACGUAGACGCUAUUCCCUAAGAUUAACCCAUGCAUGUUUUUGACAUUUGAAAAAUGGACUGCUCAGUAAUACUCACUUUAUUUUAUGUAAAUUUUUGAUUAAUUAACUACGUUAAAGUGUAGAUAAGAUGUUUACAGUAAGAGUGAGACCUAUCAGCUAGUUGUUAAGGUAAUGGCUUAACAAGGCUGUGACGGGUAACGGUAUUACUUUGUAAUAUUCCGGAGAAGGAGCCUGAGAGACGGCUACUAAGUCUAAGGAUUGCAGCAGGGGCGAAACUUGACCUAUGGAUUUUAUCUGAGGCAGUUAUGGGAAGUAAUAUUAUAUUGUUUCAUAUUUUAAAAGUAUAUGAGGUGAUUAAUUGGAGGGCAAAUCAAGUGCCAGCAGCCGCGGUAAUACUUGUUCCAAGAGUGUGUAUGAUGAUUGAUGCAGUUAAAAAGUCCGUAGUUUAUUUUUUAAGAAGCAAUAUGAGGUGUACUGUAUAGUUGGGAGAAAGAUGAAAUGUGACGACCCUGACUGGACGAACAGAAGCGAAAGCU
rnacentral:rRNA from 1 species